rnacentral:rRNA from 1 species
AGAGUUUGAUCCUGGCUCAGGAUGAACGCUAGCGACAGGCCUAACACAUGCAAGUCGAGGGGCAGCGGAGAGGUAGCAAUACCUUUGCCGGCGACCGGCGCACGGGUGAGUAACACGUAUGCAAUCCACCUGUAACAGGGGGAUAACCCGGAGAAAUCCGGACUAAUACCCCAUAAUAUGGGUUCUCCGCAUGGAGGGUCCAUUAAAGAGAGCAAUUUUGGUUACAGACGAGCAUGCGCUCCAUUAGCCAGUUGGCGGGGUAACGGCCCACCAAAGCGACGAUGGAUAGGGGUUCUGAGAGGAAGGUCCCCCACAUUGGAACUGAGACACGGUCCAAACUCCUACGGGAGGCAGCAGUGAGGAAUAUUGGUCAAUGGUCGGCAGACUGAACCAGCCAAGUCGCGUGAGGGAAGACGGCCCUACGGGUUGUAAACCUCUUUUGUCGGAGAGUAAAGUACGCUACGUGUAGCGUAUUGCAAGUAUCCGAAGAAAAAGCAUCGGCUAACUCCGUGCCAGCAGCCGCGGUAAUACGGAGGAUGCAAGCGUUAUCCGGAUUUAUUGGGUUUAAAGGGUGCGUAGGCGGCACGCCAAGUCAGCGGUGAAAUUUCCGGGCUCAACCCGGACUGUGCCGUUGAAACUGGCGAGCUAGAGUGCACAAGAGGCAGGCGGAAUGCGUGGUGUAGCGGUGAAAUGCAUAGAUAUCACGCAGAACUCCGAUUGCGAAGGCAGCUUACUAAACCAUAACUGACACUGAAGCACGAAAGCGUGGGGAUCAAACAGGAUUAGAUACCCUGGUAGUCCACGCAGUAAACGAUGAUUACUAGGAGUUUGCGAUACAAUGUAAGCUCUACAGCGAAAGCGUUAAGUAAUCCACCUGGGGAGUACGCCGGCAACGGUGAAACUCAAAGGAAUUGACGGGGGCCC